rnacentral:rRNA from 1 species
UAUUAUUUUAUCUGAAAAUUUUAUAAGCUAGAGUAGUAAUAGUUAUGUUCUUGAAACUCAAAGAAUUUGGCGGUAUUUUAGUCUUUUCAGAGGGAUCUGUCCUGUAAUUGAUAACACACGUUUAAGUUACUUCAUUUUGUAAUCAGGUUUGUAUACCGCCGUCAUAAGAAUAUCUUUUUGAAGGGUUACAAUUUUCUGAAGGUAAGAGUAAAGAGUAUGUCAGGUCAAGGUGCAGCUAAUAGUGAAGAAGAGAUGGAUCACAAUAAUAAUAAUUAUUAUGAAUUAAAUUGAAUUGAUGAUUUAUGAAGGUGGAUUUGAUUGUAAGUUUGUUUUAGAUAAUGAAUUGAUUUUGGCUCUAAAAUGUGUACACAUCGCCCGUCGCUCUCGUUAAAUAUGAG